UUCGAUUUUUUUCCAAUCACUAUUUAAAAAAAAAAAUCAUAAUACGGCGGCAAAUUUUUUUACCAUGUUUCUCUAUGACUCAAAAGUUGCGGGAAAUUGAGUUUUUGUGGAAAAAAAGUUGAUUAAAAAAUCAGCAAUUUUUUUCCGUGUACCUACUUUUUCUCUCAAUAGUCCUCAACAAUACAAUUGAUCAGAAAAUUCACUCAAAAGUUACAGCUGUUUGAAUAUGUACGUACCAUUUUUGUAUGGACAGCUGCUUGUAUGGGUGAACCAAUGACACAAAAUAGCUUGUUUUCGUUAUAGAGAAGGCCCCACAAAGUUUGAGCCAAAUCAAAAAAUACAAAAAAUAAAAAUGGUCGAAAUCGGCCGAUUUUGUAGAGAGUUGCUACCUUUUCACUAAAACUGCGAUAAUUUUGAAAUUUUCAUCAAAACGGCAUUUUAAGUUUCAUUCGACCUUUUCAAAUGUUGGGCUAGAUUUUCCGGUUUAGACUAUUUUUCCUACACUGAAAGAAAGACACAUAGCUGUAUCACAUGUUUUACACAUGAAUCUGCCCCAUACGACUUUGCAUGUGAAUGUAACGUGUAAAUCACUUGAAAGAAUCCAUCGAGCGACCCUGCAAAUCCAAAUGCAAAACACGUGAAUCUUAAGUGAAAGCUCACAUGACAUUGAAAUGGUGUGCAUUUGCAUUCCAAAUGAUUGUGUAGUGUAAUUUGAAUGGUUUUCCAGCGAUAUCCAUUUGUAUUGAAUAUUGCAUACGAUUUUCAAAAGAUUUUUUAUUACGAUUAGAAACUUUUUAUUAUAUGCCCCCUUUGAUAUAAAUACAAAAUGUCGCACAAAAAACAAUCAGACUACAAUCUUUUUUACAUUUUUCACUUCUUGCUGUUCCUAUCCAAUAGUUGAAUGUCACCGAGUUGCGGCUGAGGACAAAACGCAAAGGCCAGCAGAGCCAACCAAGACCCCUACACAAUCCCCCUUCCCAUCCCAUGCCUUGUCUUUAACAUCAAUCCCUUCCCUACUAACCCCGAGUAGGCCGCGGGUAAUCGGCUCCCCUCCCACUAACAUUUACACACAAGAUCCUCUGUAAUUAUUAAGUUUUUUGUAAUUACAAAAGCCGACUCGGUCCUAACCAGGUCCCAGUACCGAAAAGGACCUAAUAAAAAUAAUUUUAUGAAAAAAAAUAAAAAAAUAGUUGAAUGUCUGUCUGGGCGACGGAACGAGAAUAGCUUCCGGUAACAGGAACCGGUUCUUGAAGUCGUCUACCUGCUUGACCUCAGUUCUUGGAGGCCUCCAUCGACUCAACCUUGACCUUGACCUUGACCUGGAUAUGGAGUAGCCACGGACACGGGUAUGGGAAGCAAUGUCGCCAAGGACAGCGUCACGGAACUGCCGACAGUUGCACAUUUUGUUCGUUCCGGAACGCAAAUCAUACUGCAGCCAGAUGCCGAAGUUGCCGGAUCAAUCGGCCAAUACAGCGUCGAUCCGGGAAAACGAAUUCAGGAUCCAACCCUUCACCGGUGUUGGAUAUCCUAGAAAUUCAUUAACAUUGUUAGUCUAAACGUACAUAUUUCAAUAUUCACGCUAUUUCUAUUAAAUACUUACCAAAAAGUUAAAAAAACGCAAUUUGGACUGUCUUCGUCCGUCGCCAUCUUACGAAUGAGUAUUUUUUCAUCAAACACCUUUAAAUCCAAUACAUUUCAAUCUCACGUGAUUUCCAUUUGGAAAUCAAGGGAAAAGUCAAAUGGGGCAAAUCCGAGUGAAAUUCUAUUGAAUCCAAAGUGAACACCACGCGAUAAAAGAAUGAAAAACAUCUGGCUUGCAAUCAGCUGAUUUCUGAUGAUAAUCAUUUGAAUGUCAUAUGAAAAACACAUCUAUGUCAAGGGAAAAGUAUGGCAAAUCAUCGUGAUGAUUUUUCAGCCAGCUCACGUGAAAAAGCAUAUGAAUUUGCUAUGUCCGAUUUUUUCAGUGUAGAAAGGCCAACUUAUCACCUUUCAUUUGCGUCCAAGACAACUGAAAUCGGUUGAAAUGGAUUGUAGGUCACCCUAAUGGCCAAACAAAAAAUCUAAUUAUUUUGGUCAAGGAAUCCUCAGAAAACUUUUGAACUCGAUCGGAGAACUUUUUUUCGGUUCAGGCUCUUUUAAAAUGGAAUUGCUGUAUAAUUAUUUCCUCUUGUAUCUAAUUAAAAGCCAAUUUCACUGAGCCAGGUGUAAGGUGUAAGCAAAACAUAAAAAAGUUGUUUGUAAGCGUAACGUUUCCAUACACCAAUUUAUAAUAUUUUCUUGAAUAACUUACCGCAAUCACCAUUGAGAAAUGAGUUUCACUGUCAUUGUUGCUCAAGACACCAC